AUUGAACGCUGGCGGCAGGCUUAACACAUGCAAGUCGAGCGGGGGAAGGUAGCUUGCUACCGGACCUAGCGGCGGACGGGUGAGUAAUGCUUAGGAAUCUGCCUAUUAGUGGGGGACAACAUCUCGAAAGGGAUGCUAAUACCGCAUACGUCCUACGGGAGAAAGCAGGGGAUCUUCGGACCUUGCGCUAAUAGAUGAGCCUAAGUCGGAUUAGCUAGUUGGUGGGGUAAAGGCCUACCAAGGCGACGAUCUGUAGCGGGUCUGAGAGGAUGAUCCGCCACACGGGGAGUGAGAGACGGCCCAGGCUCCUACGGGAGGCAGCAGUGGGGAAUAUUGGACAAUGGGGGGAACCCUGAUCCAGCCAUGCCGCGUGUGUGAAGAAGGCCUUAUGGUUGUAAAGCACUUUAAGCGAGGAGGAGGCUACUUUAGUUAAUACCUAGAGAUAGUGGACGUUACUCGCAGAAUAAGCACCGGCUAACUCUGUGCCAGCCGCCGCGGUAA
rnacentral:rRNA from 1 species